rnacentral:rRNA from 1 species
GACGAACGCUGGCGGCGUGCUUAACACAUGCAAGUCGAACGAAGUGGCGAACGGGUGAGUAAUACGCGGGUAAACUGCCCUCAUCUUGGGAUAAGCCCUGGAAACGGGGUCUAAUACCGAAUCAAGGGGGAUGGGCUCGGGGCCUAGCAGGUUGUUGGUGGGGUGAAGGCCUACCAAGGGGGCGACGGGUAGCCGGCCUGAGAGGGUGACGGGCCAGAUAUGGGCUAGGGAACGGCCCAGACGCCUACGGGAGGCAGGAGUGGGGGAUAUUGCACAAUGGGAGAAAGCCAGAUGCAGCGAGGCAGGGUGGGGGAUGAAGGCUUUCGGGUUGUAAACCUCGUUGGCUAUCGAACGGGUAGGUGGAGAAGAAGCGCCGGCUAACUACGUGCCAGCAGCCGCGGUAAUAC